rnacentral:rRNA from 1 species
CCUACGGGUGGCAGCAGUGGGGAAUCUUCCACAAUGGGCGAAAGCCUGAUGGAGCAACGCCGCGUGAGUGAAGAAGGUCUUCGGAUCGUAAAGCUCUGUUGCAGGGGACGAAAACCGGGUUUGAAAACAUUGAGCUUGGGUGACGGUACCUUGCGAGGAAGCCACGGCUAACUACGUGCCAGCAGCCGCGGUAAUACGUAGGUGGCGAGCGUUGUCCGGAAUUAUUGGGCGUAAAGGGAGCGCAGGCGGGCUGCCAAGUCCAUCUUAAAAGUGCGGGGCUCAACCCCGUGAGGGGAUGGAAACUGGCAGUCUUGAGUGCAGGAGAGGAAAGCGGAAUUCCCAGUGUAGCGGUGAAAUGCGUAGAUAUUGGGAGGAACACCAGUGGCGAAGGCGGCUUUCUGGAC